UUGCCCACACGCCCCGCACAUGAGGCGACCCGCGGCAUCCGCUCCCGGACGGAGGUCUGGUCCCCGCUGGGAGGGGGCCCGAGGCCGACAGAGACGGGCGCCCCUCGCCGAAGCUCCGUCUCCCCGACAGACAGGCGGAGAGCAGAGCAUGUCUUCCGGACGGCCCGUGUGGGCGCGGCCCCAGGCCGGGAGGGAGGGCAGGCCCGGGGCUCCCCGCCCGCCGCCCGGCCCCGCCCCGUCCCCACGGGGCUGAGCCCGGAGGCCCCGCCCCCCGCCCACGAGGAAGUGGCAGCGCAGCGCGGCGCCCAGAGCCGGUUCGGCGCGUCGACUGCCCAGAGUCCGCGGCCGCGGCGCCCCGAGGUGAGGGGGGCGCUGGGGCAGCCCGGAAGGGCGGGAUCGAGGGGAGCGCGGGGAGGGGGCGCGUGCAGGUGGGGAGGGCGUUGCGGGGGGGUCGCCAGGAGAUGGGGGGCCGCGGGGAGCUCAGGGACGAGAAGGGGCACUGAGGGCCCCCCUGGACGUGAGCGGGCGCGCUCGGGGCGCGGGGUGCUGGCGGGUGAGCGACCUCCUUCGGGCGAGGGCGCCGCAGCGCUCCCCACACUCCGUGCCUUCGGGGCGCGCGGGCCCGCGCGUCCACCUCCGCGCCCGGCCCUCUCGGCCUCCCCUCUCUCCCGUCCCCCCACCCCUGACUCUGCCCGGCCGUCGGUGGUCCCCGUUAUUUCGAGCCGGAGGGCCCCCACGCCCAGUCACUUCCCCUCCAUCCUUCAGCCUUCCGGGUUCCUCCAGCGGGGAAAUGAGCUGGCGCCCCCGCCCGCCUCGCCCCUCCCCUCUCCCUCCUUCUCUCCCGGCCCCCAGCCCGCCCCCGACCCCGGGGCCAGGUCGAAGGGGUCCGAUGCGGUGGGGGGUUGCCCGGGUCCGGAAGGCGGACCUCCUGAGCUCGCGGGCGCUGGACCGCCGCGUUCCGAGCGGCCCCUCUCUCUCCGGCGGCCCAGGGGCCGCGGCCAGGACUGGGGCAGGGCCGGGACCUCGGGGCGGCGACGGUGA
rnacentral:lncRNA from 1 species